UAGGGAAUUUUCCACAAUGGGGGCAACCCUGAUGGAGCAACGCCGCGUGCAGGAUGAAGGCCUUCGGGUUGUAAACUGCUUUUAUCUGUGACGAUUAUGACGGUAGCAGAUGAAUAAGGAUCGGCUAACUCCGUGCCAGCAGCCGCGGUCAUACGGAGGAUCCAAGCGUUAUCCGGAAUUACUGGGCGUAAAGAGUUGCGUAGGUGGCAGAGUAAGUUGCUAGUGAAAGCGUUCGGCUCAACCGAAUAUACAUUAGCAAAACUGCUCAGCUAGAGGACGAGAGAGGUAAUUGGAAUUCCUAGUGUAGGAGUGAAAUCCGUAGAUAUUAGGAGGAACACCGAUGGCGUAGGCAGAUUACUGGCUCGUUCCUGACACUAAGGCACGAAAGCGUGGGUAGCAAACGGGAUUAGAUACCCCGGUAGUCC
rnacentral:rRNA from 1 species